UUAUAUACAGGGAGGUAAUAACAUGGUUAUAUACAGGGAGGUAAUAACAUGGUUAUAUACAGGGAGGUAAUAACAUGGUUAUAUACAGGGAGGUAAUAACAUGGUUAUAUACAGGGAGGUAAUAACAUGGUUAUAUACAGGGAGGUAAUAACAUGGUUAUAUACAGGGAGGUAAUAACAUGGUUAUAUACAGGGAGGUAAUAACAUGGUUAUAUACAGGGAGGUAAUAACAUGGUUAUAUACAGGGAGGUAAUAACAUGGUUAUAUACAGGGAGGUAAUAACAUGG